rnacentral:lncRNA from 1 species
AAAAGGGGCGGAAGGGGCGGCCGAAUGCCUAUGGGUGCAGGUCACCUGGUGCUUCGCGUCUGGAAGGUGCUGCGCGUCGCCAUCUUGGCCACCAUGUCCAGCUACAGGAGCGUCGCGACUCAGACCCGGCCCCGGCCCGAGCUGGGCCCCGGCCUCAGCUCCGCAGCGCCCUUCUGGGAGCUGCUGGGGCUGCUGUCCCGGGAGCCCGGCAUGGACUGGCUCCGCGCCGUUCUGGUCGAACGGGGAGCGACCGAGGACGUCCGAGCCCGGGCAGAGACCGGUAGGGGCGGCUCGGACGGGCCCGGCGCCUCGAGCGCGGGCGGCCCGGUGGGGCCCGGGGCCGGAGACGCCGCCGCGUCGUCGGCUGCUGCCGGAAGUGUUAUUGGAGAUGGGGCUGAGAAGAAUCCAUUAGGCCCUUGGCCUCUGAAGACCUUGGACUUGUUGGAGCAUUCAGUAGAUGUAAGAAUGUGGCAAGCCUACCAUACAGGCCUGGUAAAGUUUCUUGCCUUCAGAGAAAACAUGGGAAUGCCUCCAGAAUGGCCAAUUCCACUGUAUCAAAGUAGAGGAUUUGUGGUGGCUAUGGAGUCCCUAGGCUUACCUUCACCAAAAAUACUGAUAUACUUGGCAGCACUCUCCUACCUUUCCAAAUUGACAGGUCAUACUGAUCCUCUUGAAGACAUUGUAAACAGGCAUAUGGUGAUAGCAUUGCGUCAGAGGGAUGAUGCUCCAAGGGGUGGUACUGCUCCUGUAACCAUUGAGGUCUUGCGAUCAAUCUUGGGGUCUGUGGAGUCUGUUUGCAGCUCACAGUAUGAGUGUUUACUUUUUCGUGCUGUAUUUACUGUGGCAUUUUUUGGAGCACUUCGGGUUCAGGAAAUGGUGGCAGAGCAUCAGAACUGGGCACAGCCAGAGCUGCUGUUCCUGAGUGAUCUCCAGCUGACGGAAGAGAGAGCAAACCUUCGAUUACGUACAUCCUUCCUGGGUCAAGAAAGAUUUUUGAUUUCUCUUGGAUUAUGUGGAGAGACCUGGGUAUGCCCUGUUGAAGCACUCUGGAACUAUGUGGCAGCUAGGCCACGCGGGGAAGGACCUCUCUUUGUUCAUUCUGAAGGUAUACCUCUGACAAAGAGACAGUUUUUGGCUGUCUUCCGUUCUUCUUUAAGACUACUUGGCCUUCGUUCAGAGUGCUAUGGUGCCCAUUCCUUCUGGUUGGGAACUACUGUAACACUAAUAAGAAGUGGAUACUCUGAGGAAGAUGUUACACAGCUAGCAAGAUGGCCUUGUAAGAUCCUCAGAAGGACAUAAUGUAACAAGUAAUGUGGUGACCUCACUGUUUAUCCCAGCCUUAAUUUCCUACUGGUGGUCUACUUGUAUUACAAAUAGUAUUCCCUCUGACAUCACAAGAAUGUGAAGGAGUGGGGAGGGCAGCUGUCAAAAUAUUAAAAAUAAUGGGUAUAAUCUCUUGCAGCUGCAUUCUCCUCUCUUUCCCCUCCCCUCAUCUUUAAGGGCUUUGAUAGUGGCCCUUGAAUUGACUAGCUCCAUCCACUUUUAAAUGCUGCUAAUGUCACAAGUACUGCCCUGUGAGGGCUGUAAACUACUCAUUAAGUAUAUAGUGCUGCUUGCACUGGAGUUCCAGCAGCCCUGAAACAAACUAGUUUCUUCUUGCUUGUAAAGCUUCUAGUAGUUGCUUUCAGUGCUGCUGUUUAGAAGCAUUGAAAAUGAGGAGCUAGUCAGUCUCACAGCUGUUAAUAUUGCAGUCCUGACAGUGCUGUGGACCUCUUAUUAAACUGCUUAUUAAGUUUGGAUAGAUGUCCAAAGUACAAAGUGCAUGUGCUUUAUUACCUGCAAUGCAAGGUUAAAUGCUAGCUGUAUUUCUGCUUGUUCUCUAGUGUGUUUUAAUAAACUUAUUAACAAAACUAAUUUGUAUAGCA